rnacentral:rRNA from 1 species
GAUGAACGCUAGCGGCAGGCCUAAUACAUGCAAGUCGAGGGGCAGCAGGGUAGCAAUAUCGCUGGCGACCGGCGCACGGGUGCGUAACACGUAUACAAUCUGCCCUUAACAGGGGGAUAGCCCGGAGAAAUCCGGAUUAAUACCCCAUAAUAAUAGAACAGGCAUCUGUUUUAUUUGAAAGUUCCGACGGUUAAGGAUGAGUAUGCGUCUGAUUAGCUAGUUGGUGAGGUAAAGCUUACCAAGGCGAUGAUCGGUAGCUGUUCUGAGAGGAAGAUCAGCCACACUGGGACUGAGACACGGCCCAGACUCCUACGGGAGGCAGCAGUGGGGAAUUUUGGGACAAUGGGGGCAACCCUGAUCCAGCAACGCCGCGUGAAUGAAGAAGGCCUUAGGGUUGUAAGUUCUUUUGUCUGGGGACAAGAGCCACUGGGUAAUAUACAGUGGAGAUGAGGGUACCAGAAGAAUAAGCAACCGGCUAACUACGUGCCAGCAGCC